rnacentral:tRNA from 1 species
GGAGAGGAUGACCGUCCGGUGACGUCCGCGGGCUUCAAACCCGUAGGGAGGCGGUAACCCGUCUCUGGCAGGUUCGACUCCUGCCCUCUCC